AUUUGUGCACAAAAUUUGAGAGAAAUAAGCUUUUUGUGCAUGUGGAAAUUUCUGGGAUCUUUUAUUUCAGCUCAUGAAAGAUGAGACCAACACUUACAUGUUGUGUAUUUUUGUUCAGUGUAUGAUGAUGAAUGUUUGAAUGUAGGCUAUUUCUUUCUAUGUGAACCAGUGGCCAUGCAGGUUGACUUUACUCUGACUGAGUGUAAUCUAGUUGACUGUCUGUGGUGUUUUAGAUGGAGAGAAGAGACAGGAGAACAGAACAGGGUGACUACUGAUCUGGACCACAUUCUGAAGGGGCUGGACUCCAUGUCUGAGUGUCUGGACAGACUGGCAUGUAGUGUGGGCACAGCUGAGACAGUGUGACCUGAUCAUGUGACAUCAGCCACCCAGUCAAGAUGGCCUCUCGGAAUAGAGUGGAACAGGGGGAGAGGACAGUCCAUUCAGCUCUCCCCAGCCCGCCAUAGUGAAGCCACCUCAACUAAAGGCCCCAAAGCCACCAGGCUAUUCUAACGGAUCCAGCUCCAGUAAACCUCCUACUCCUCCUUCUCACCCUCCUUCAAAUGUCCCCAACACAAAACCAGGCACUUGGAAGAGGACUAGUGACCAGAGGCCAGGCUGAAGCAUCUCUCAGAUGGGUUAACAAGGUCAGGAAUCCCCCACCCCUGGUGGGCCUCACUAACACACACACACAGUGUGUAUCAAUGUAGCUGUGUGUGUUUCAGGAUAGAGUGUUUCUGGUGAGGGACAGUUCCAAGGCUCUUCUGAGCAGUCCUACACCCUCAUAGUGAUGUGUGGCUUGGUACCAAUGUUAUGUCAAAUUUAGAGAAACACUACAGUACACACAAUAUAUAUAUAUAUAUGUAUAUAUGGAUCUCUCUCUGCUCUCUCUCUCUAUAUAUAGCUGUAUGACAAACUUUUACCUUGUCUCUAUAUAUAGCACAUCUCUCUCUCAAUAGCUAGAUAUAUAUCUAGCUAUCGAGAGAUGUGCUAUAUAUAGAGAUCCAGCAUUUU